UUUCUUAUGCGCAUACAGUAUACAGCGUCAGUAUUAACUGUUCAGGGCAAGGGCCCCAUAGGGUCCCAGAAUGCUAAUGACCUGGCGAUGCCUAGUAAUUUACCUUACCCUGCGCCUCUCAUGGGAGGAAAAGGAAAAACAAGCUAACUGGAGAACGCCGUGGUCAAGCCUUUCAGAUUUCGGAAACUGCGACAGAAGGAAAACUCAGCAGCUUUCAUGCAAGAAAAACUCAAGCUAUUGCCCCAAAUGAUGCCUGACCGAAGCAGACCCGGAGUUAAGGACCCGGUCGUGUGGCCGCCUGGGUUAAGCGGAGCCACUGCUACAACCUUGAGUCUCUGCUUUUAGGUUGCUGGUUUGCUUUAACCCGAGCCCCGGAAAUGAUGACAAGGCCAGCGUUGCUUGUUCACUCCUCCUGGCUGAGGUGAUAGCCUGCUUGUAGCCACCAAGGCCUUCCCUGGCCGUCGGGGCGGCCUGCGCAGAACACAGCCCGGCCUCAGGGAGCCUAAGGCGGGAGCGGCGCCACAAGGGGUCCGUAGCCGGGGUCAGCUCCUAGUCCCAGACAGCCACACCGAGGCCCCGCCCACCACGUCAAGGUCCCGCCCUACCCUCCUAGGACUGGUCCGUCCCAGUCAGGGCCCCGCCCUGCCUCCUGUCAAUUGGUCCAUCACUCUCCGCCUCAGGACACUUCUCGGCCCUGGCCACGCCCACCUGCUGUGUGGCCCUUCACACUCUGUGAGUUUGGGAUUGUUGCGUCUGGACAAGUGGGCACAAAAGGGACAACUUUGCGCUGCCGGCGCUCAGUUUCCUGCGCAUCUCCAGCAACAUGACGGCGUCUUCCACCCGGUGCAUGGCGCCUCCUCUCCACGGCGAGAGUCGCGCUGCUAGCUGGUGGCGCAUCCUGGGCGCCUGUCUGCUGGCUGCAGUGUUUCUGCUGGCCGCCUCCUCCGAUGCCUGUGUGCUGCCACCACCAUUUGAAGCUAUGGAGCCUAUAAAUCCUAAGCCCUACUAUGAAAUUGGGGAAAAAGUAGAGUAUAGAUGUAAAAAAGGAUACCUUCGUCAGCCUUUUUAUCUCAUGGUUGCUACCUGUGAGAAGAAUCACUCGUGGGUUCCUAUUACAGAUGACGGUUGUAUAAAAAAGCAAUGCACAUAUCUAAACCCUCCUCCAAAGGGCAGAGUAGAAUACAUAAAUGGAACUCGCACAUGGGGUGAUAUAGUUCACUUUUCUUGUGUUGAGGGUUUUUAUGUAUCUGGUAUUGCAGCACUAAGUUGUGAGCUUAGAGGAGAUAACGUGGAUUGGAAUGGCAGGGUUCCCACAUGUGAAAAAGUUCUGUGUUCACCACCUCCAAAAAUACAGAACGGAAAAUACACCUUUAGUGAUGUACAAGUAUUUGAAUAUUUUGAAGCAGUAACUUAUAGUUGUGAUGCUGUCCAGGGACCAGAUAAACUUUCACUUGUUGGAAACGAAGUGCUCUACUGUGCAGGCCAUCAAAAAUGGAGCAGCGCAGCUCCUGAAUGUAAAGUGGUCAAAUGUCCACUUCCAGUAGUUAAGAAUGGAAAACAGAUAUCAGGACUUGGACAAACAUUUUUCUACCAAGCCACAGUUACAUUUCAGUGCCUCCCAGGUUUCUACUUCAAUGGCAGCAGCACAGUUGUCUGUGGCAGUGACAAUACGUGGAAACCCUCUAUCCCAGAAUGUCUUAAAGGUCCCAAGCCUACUCAUCCCACCAAGCCGCCAGUUUAUAAUUAUCCAGGAUAUCCCAACCCCAGAGAAGGAAUAUUUGACCAAGAAUUAAAUUUAUGGAUCAUUAUUCUGCUUAUUCUUAUUGCAGUUGUCGGAUUGGCUCUGAUACUCCUUUGUGCGUGCAGAUUCUUUGAACGCAAGAAGAAAAGCAUAAUUCUGAUGACAGCUACAAAGAAGUAAAAUUUACUUCUCUCUAAAAAGAGAUAAGAGAAAAGUCUGCCUUAUCAUUAAAAAGGAAAGAACAGGUCCGGGUUCAAUAUACCCGACUAUUCCAGCAGGGUAAACUGCCUGCUUUCCACCAGCCGGGCCUGAGUUUGUCCUUGGGUUCUGCUAAAGCCAUGGGCCCUUUCUUUUCUCAAUGUCAGGAUCCAGACGGAAGUUCCUGCAGUGUGCACGCAGCCCCAUCCGCGCGUGUGUGUGUGUGUGUGUGUGUGUGUGUGUGUGUGUGUGAGAGAGAGAGAGAGAGAGAGAGAGUGGUGCCUGCCCCCCCCCCAGUGCCUCCACCUAAGGGCAGGUCUACCAGUGUCGCUAACGGUCUUCAGGAGAGGAAGUCAUGUAUUUUAUAAAAUGUGGCUUCUUUGGAAAAACAUACAGCCGUUCGCAAUGAAAUUAAUUUCCUUUAUAAAGAAAGUGAUGCUGACAUCUUUAUAAUGCCACACCUUAAGACGCUGCCUUUCAGCAGUGUUAAUACCCAUUUUCUGUAUCAUUGUUAAAGCCUUUACAAACGUGUAUGACUCCCACAGCACCUGUUCACUGAAAACAAGAGCGUAGAAAACUGGGAAUGUGGACACAUUUCACCACCUCAACCAAUGAUAUUCCUGGAAAGUUAUCUAAACAUUAGUUUUGUCUUUUGGAGACAGGGUCUCACUGUGCAGUUCGGGCUGGCUGUGAGCUCACUUUGUAGUGCAGUCUGGUCCCAAACUUGUAAUGAUCUUCCUGCCUCAGCCUCUCGAGUGCUGGGAUUACAGGCAUGCACCACCACACUCGCUUUAGCUAAACUUCAGUAAGGUAAACCAUUUAUUGGUAACUCUUCUGGUGAUCUAAGGAAGCUAGAAAGUGCAUGUAUGACAUGCAUUUUUACUUUUUCUUGGUAGCAUCAGUCAGCUAGAAUUAGAAGUCAGUGAGAUACCAGAACGAGUUACAUACAUGAGUAAGAAAUUAGAGGACUCUACCAUCCACAGCAAGAGUGGCAGUGUACGGUACCAGGUAAACUCUGUACCCUUACAGUUUUCUUAAAGAGAGGUCUGUCUGUUCAAUAAUGCACUCCAAGUUCUGGCUACUUUGUGCUUUCUCUCCUUACACAGAAAUGUCUUCCCUUAAACAUGUUUUGUGGCGAAUAAAUUCAUCAUGUAACUCAAGCAAUGUCAAACCUCAGUCCAUGCGCUAAGGGAGUCUCUUGCAUACCUCACCUGACUCUUAAGAGGCAGAGCAUAAAUCAAGUCACACUUUUCAGAGAAGGGACUUCAUCUGUUUACUGUGGGUUCUAGCAGAGCUCCCCCUACCCUGGCCCACAUCCCAGGCUCAGCAGGUGACCUCCCUUUGAAACCUGUGGUUGGAUAUUUAGGGAAGUAAUCUUUAAGCAGAAAUAAAGAGAAAUUCUGAAUUAAGAGUUAAAGUGCAUAUCCAUUUUCACUAUCUCUCAAGAAUGUAGCAAUUAUUCAGCAGGAAUGGUUGUACCUAAUUUUUUAAGCCUAAUGAACUAUUUUCAAUUUAAAUAUUUUUAUGAUUAAAAUAAAUUUAAAUUUAUGUUUCUGCUUCAUAUUUAGUGUUUUCAGUUUAAUAUUUAAAUUUGCAAUUUAUGUGUAAAUAUAUAUAUUCUUUUUUGUCAGGUAAUUUGUAAAACUUAAAAUUGUGUGGAGAGGCUUCAUUUGACUGAAUACACUUGUGCAGAUACUGUGUUUAUCCCAAGUCAGAAUCUGUUUCUAAUGAGAGCCCUCUCUCACCCCACCAUUCCCACCACUCCUGGUCCUGGCAACCUGGCCUUUGUGUGCCCAGGGGUUCCCUGCCCCGUCUGGCAGCCUCUUUCCUGUUGAGUGAUCCCUCAUCUGCAGGGUGGGGUCUAAAAUUCCUCACGUGAACUUGACCUUCUACAAUGAAACCCUUUCUUCCCAAGCCUUUCUUUCUGCUAAAUUUCUUCAAAUAGCCUUCUCUUGGUCAAGCUAAACCAUCUGCCCCAUGCUUUCUGCUAUAUUCCCAGUCCCUGUUGCUUGAAAUACCUUUUAUCUUCUCUAGAAUUGUGCAUCUUCCAAGGAUCAUCUCAGAUAGGACCAGGUGCCUGCCGCUUCACCUGGCUGCUCACCAGACUACAGGACUAUAACCUAAUCACGAGUUAGCUAAGUUGAAGUAUCUAACAAAAGCUGGCCCAUCUGCGUCUCAUAAACACAUACAGUGCAAAAUUAAAAAAAAAAAAAGUCCCAACAAUGAAAGCAUAAAGUCUGAUUUGUGUAACUAAUGGGAUGUGGGUUUGUUCACACAAAACAUCAUUCUGGCUGUCUUUGCAGACUGGAAUCAGACUGCUGAGGCUAUCAGAUGAGGCCCUGUGUUCCUCAGCCAUCGCUGUGCACUGCAGCCACUGGGGAAUUUUACUGACACCUGGGUCUGCACGCAAGGGUACACAGCUAACUAACUGAUCUGGGAUGUGGCCCAGUCAUCAGGCUGUGUGUCCCAGGUGGCUGCACUGUACAGCUGAAGUUGAGAAUCUCCGCAUUAGAAAUUCUCAUGCACAAUGGUCAGUUUCUUCAAAUAAACUUAAAGAGGGAGGAAGGGAAAGGCUUCUACUCCCCUCCACCAAAAAAAAAAUCAUAGUUUAAUUCUACCUGUCAAAUGAGAAAAUUUUAAAGAGUGGAGGUCUUGCUAACUAAAUGUGCUUUAAAACUACAGAAGAAACCUUUUUAAUAUCAAGGUUGGACGGCAACUAUAUUAAAUAUGAACAAGGAAAUCAUUUUAGAAAAUGUUAUUUGACCUUGAGACUUUUUUUUUUUCCUUUUCAAUUGCCAAAAAGUCGAGGGAAUGCUUUUAAGGUAAUUGACAGGGUCUUUUGCUAGAAUGCGGAAAAGACCUGGGAUUGGAAGGAAUUUAAAUUGACAUCUUAAAGUAGAUUUUUCAGGCUUAAGGGUACAGGACAGUAUGGGGUAUUGUCAGGCAGCAGCUAACAUUUUAACCAAGAAUGAAGUUUUUUGUGUAUUUUAAGAAUUUUCAUACUUGUAUUUAAGGAUUUAGCAACGUCUACUGACUCCUAGGAUUGCUGUGGAAUUGACUGCACUAUGUUCCUAAACUACUUCCUAAACUAUGUUGCUCUAAGAAUGUCCAGGCUCUCAGAAAAAGGGACAUGGAGGAAGGUUAGCCUUUGUAGAGCGUGGCACUGCUGCCCUCCGGUGGACAGUUGGGGGAUUGGACAAUCCCUCCACACUUUUAGAGUUCUCAGUGCUGUGAUUCCAGGAGCCAUUUCUAAGUUCAUUUUGGAUCCAGUAUAAAACUAGCCCUCUUCUUCUGCUUCUUAAAAAAGUUUUUAAAAAGAGCUAAACUCUUCCCCUUGAUGCUUAAAUAUAGGGGAACACUGCUGGGUGCGGCAGCACCUGCCUCUAAUUCCAGCAUUCUGGGAGGCGGAGGCAGUUCAGCCCAACCUUGGGGAUGUAGCAACUGGGGAAGAUCAACGCUUGAAAUGUCACUUGAUGCAAAGGCCCUGGGUUGAAGUCACCCCCAAAUACCAAAAAAUAAAAACAGGGUGAACAUAAUAUAAGGGAAGGGUCCUGUGAUCAAUAAAAUGACUUUUUCUUCUUCCUUC